rnacentral:rRNA from 1 species
UACGUAGGGGGCAAGCGUUAUCCGGAAUUAUUGGGCGUAAAGAGCUCGUAGGCGGUUUGUCGCGUCUGCUGUGAAAACUGGAGGCUCAACCUCCAGCCUGCAGUGGGUACAGGCAGACUAGAGUGCGGUAGGGGAGAUUGGAAUUCCUGGUGUAGCGGUGGAAUGCGCAGAUAUCAGGAGGAACACCGAUGGCGAAGGCAGAUCUCUGGGCCGUAACUGACGCUGAGGAGCGAAAGCAUGGGGAGCGAACAGG